rnacentral:rRNA from 1 species
ACGGCGAAGUGAAGCGGCAACAGCUCAAAUUUUGAAAUCUGGCCUCCGGGCCCGAGUUGUAAUUUUGCAGAGGAUGCUUUUGGCGAGGCGCCUUCCGAGUUCCCUGGAACGGGACGCCAUAGAGGGUGAGAGCCCCGUCUGGUUGGAUGCCGAGCCUCUGUAAAGCUCCUUCGACGAGUCGAGUAGUUUGGGAAUGCUGCUCUAAAUGGGAGGUAUAUGUCUUCUAAAGCUAAAUAUUGGCCAGAGACCGAUAGCGCACAAGUAGAGUGAUCGAAAGAUGAAAAGCACUUUGAAAAGAGGGUUAAACAGUACGUGAAAUUGUUGAAAGGGAAGCGCUUGUGACCAGACUUGGGCCCGGCGGAUCACCCAGCGUUCUCGCUGGUGCACUCCGGCGGGCCCAGGCCAGCAUCAGCUCGUCCCGGGGGACAAAGGCUCUGGGAAUGUGGCUCCUCCGGGAGUGUUAUAGCCCUCUGCGCAAUGCCCUGGGGCGGGCUGAGGACCGCGCAU